GGUCCCCUCUGGCCCAAGUGCCGGGCGUGAGCGGCGGCGGCGGCCUCCGCGGAUGGACAGAGUGGGAGGAGGUUGGCGGGGUCUGCAGGGUGGCGGCCGGGUUUUGCGACCAGGCUCCGGCGAGGAGAAUGGCUUCAACCAAAAAAAUCAGCCAUCCUGUGUGCGAUGUCUUUGGUGAUUUCAGUGAUAUUUCCUUGGAAGAUUCAAAGAUGGAAGAAAUCAGAAACUUGAAAAUCAGUAGAGGUCUUACCAAAAUAGCACCUGGUCCUAGCAGAUUUCUAAAAAGAAACCAAACUAUGGGUGAGAAACACUUAUUCCCAAAAGAGAAUGCUGUCCUGGGGAGGGAGCCCGGGCCCUCCUCAGGUAGACCCCUGGCCGCUGCCUCGAAGCUCAGGGCCCACGCCGCGCUCACAAAGCUGGCCCAGCUCGAAACCCGGAUCCUGAAUCGGAAGGUGCAGAUGGAUGUGUCUGCCGUGGACUCUGACCCGGAGACCUCCGAGGGCCGUCCUCCAGGGAGGGCGGACGAAGCGCCCCUCAGUGCCGCUGAACGCUCCUCACAGAACACAGACAGCACCCCCCGGACGCAAGCCCGAGGAGCUCCCACCGCCAGGGGUGCUGCGCCGAAUGGGCAGGCCAGUCGCUUUCUAAAGAAGAGAGGCCCACCUGGGGAAAACACACCCCCUGGAGCACAGUUUGGGCAAGAGAGGAGCUUUCAGACAUCCAAAGUGAAAGAACCUGUUAGAAAAUUGGAUUCUCCAGACAGCGAUGAAGAGGAAAUGAGAGAGUUGCUGGGAAGCUUGAUGGAAUCUUCUAGAGAAAAAGAAACACACACAAAUCAGGGUUUCACCAGCACCAAAGUCAGUGAGAAAGAACGAAUAAAACUAUUCCCGGAUCAGAUCCCAACUCAACUGAGAGUCCUUUCUCUACCCAGUGAGGAACUUUCCAGCCCAAAGCCGUGGCAGACGUCACCUCUGCCAACCUCACAGUCAGCGGAUGGGACCCUUUGCAGCAUGCGCUCAGGAGCCCACUCCCCACAGACUCACAGUUCCGGUGACACACACUUGCGCACGGCGUCACUUUCUGUCACCAGCACCUUUUUGAAGAAGGCGCCCACGGUGAUGGGGCAGGGCGGGCGCAUGUCCUUGCCUGGAAGCAGUGAGGCUGAGCCCUGGUGGGAGCCACUCUCAGAAGCCUCUGAUGCCAGCUUGGACGAUUUUAGAAUAAACGUUCUGUCCCUCGACGAUCUGGCUCCAGCUGUCAGUGAGAGAUCAGACUUGAAACAGAAGAAAGAAGGUCAGAGGGAAAAGGCACCCAGCGAAAGCCCCCAGGCAAGGGCGCCGCCCACUGGAAGCGAGGUCUCCGAGCGCCUGAGCGAGCCCGCAGCCUCCUCUGCCCUGCCCAAGGGCACUGCCAGCCUGCGGCCCCCAGCUCAGCAACCCGCGGCUGGCCCAGCGAGCGCUGCUUAUUCGGAAGAUUUUGAAGGGUCUCCAAGUCCAACCACGUCUGAGCCACCGGCCCAUUCUGGGGAGGCCCCCGACAGGACGCUGGACACCUUGUCUGAAUUCUCCGCCAGCCUGAACACCGACCUGCCCCCACCCGCGCCUGAGUCCCGGAGGAAGCGGCCCAGGGGCGGGCCGGGAGUCACGAUGAGGGAGACGGCCGUGCAGACCCUCGGCCCGGCUGGCACCGACCCGUGGACGGAGGCAGCUGGCAUGGCGGCCAUCCGACCAGCCCUGGGAGGCGCCUACGUGGACCCUGCGCCUAUCGCCAGUCACGUCGUGAGUGCAGAUGCCAUAGAAGCCCUGACAGCUUACAGCCCGGCCGUGUUUGCACUCCACGACCUGCUCAAGCAGCAGCUCAGCCUGACGCAGCAGUUCGUGGAGGCCAGCCGGCACCUGCACGGGUCCCUCCUGCAGUCCCUGGACCGAGACUCGUUCCACUACCACACCCUGGAGGAAACCAAAGAGUUUGCUGAAGAAAACAGGUUGUUUGUCUGACAGUUUCCCCCAUUCUGGACUUUGCUGGCUGCACCCCUGUGGGCUCCUUGUUCCCACUAGAUGAACAUCAGUUGAUGGAUGCUGGCUGAAGGGACCUGACCACGUCACCUGCCUACAGCCCACCAAGGCUCCCCACUGUCUGCUACGGGCCCACGUCCUGAGAGCGGCUCCCAGGCUCUCCUCCCAGACGGUGCACUCUAAGGGCACCCCUGGUAGCCCCGUCCACCAGCCCCACGUGAUGGCAGCCACUCUUCCCUUUCGGACUCAUCAGGGCUCACCCCUUGCAGGGCACCCUGCUGGGGCCUGCCGCAUUCACCUCUCCUCUUCUGUUCCCACAGCAUUGUCACCUGGCAUCCUGUCAUUUUACUUUUCUGUAGCCCAACUGGGAGCUGCUGGGGAUGGGUGCCGUCUCCAGCACCCAAAGCCUCAGGAGACUGAGGCAGUGGUGGUGGUGACGUGUCUGUCUGUCCUCUGCCCAACAGUACAUCAGGCGGCACAGGCCCGCCCCGCUGACCAUGGAGGAUGCUCUGGAGGAGGUGAGGAAGGAGCCGUGAGCACCAGCAGCAAAGCAUCAGAGGGCUCCAGCGCUACCAGUGGGUCAUUCGACAGUUAAGACAGAAAUCUUACGGC